UUCACGAUGCGUCGUUCCUAGGGUUCGUCGUAUUUCCUCGAAGCUUUGAUAAGUUCCAGCAACAAUGAAUGCGAGUGAGACGAAUCGUUGCGAAGAAGCUCUCUGUCAAGCUUCGAUUUGUCGUUUCGUCUUUGGUUCUUAUCGGUGACGUUACGAGAUUUCUUGAUUCAUCCCCUUUAAGAAACUUCUUAACUCCAUCAAGCACGAUGUCUCAUUCAAUGCUCUCUUAGAGGUGGUGGAUCUCCACCUAUAAAAAUGUCAGCCUUCAUACCCUGAUCACCAUCCUCACACUUCCUACUUUUUUAACACAUUUUUUUAUAGAAAUUUUGAUCGAGUUCAGACAUUGAAACAAAGUUGAUCUCAGCUGAUAAUGGCAAGGAGACUCCAACUUCUUUGAUUCUUACAACUUCCAAUUCAAAGGUUUUUUAUUACACAAUCUUUUUCUCUUGCCUCUGACUAUAAAAAAGUGAUCUUCUUUAUGGAUUCGUGAUAGUUUAGUCCAAGAUAUUCUCUUGAGAUGUUGAUUUUGUGUUUGUGAUCAUGUUUCGAGAGAGAUUGUUGGACCCAAGAGAAGCAAGCAUGAUUAAGCUGGAAGCAAUAAAAACUUAACGGAGACGUGUAUGUGGGAUAUCACAAUGUUGAAGGUGAUUAUUAGAUGCAUCAACGUGGUUAGCUCCAACACGAUCGUAGCCAGUUGAUUGGUAGCCUUGAGGUGUCAAUCGAUACAAAGCUUCAAACAUCCACUGUGAAGAUUGACAGUGUUUAUUUUGGCCACCAUCUCUCUCUAACAAUCAUGAUUUUGAACUGGCAGGAGAAGUUAAUCCGAGUUCACAUUGAUCGAGUAAAGGGCAUCUGAAGUACUUCUACAAUCCUAUGUAUACACAUUAAAAGUUGGUUAGUAUCAGUUUGAGUGGUACUUUAUCAGUGGCUCUUCUCUGGGACCCAUGCAACAGACCGACCGCUGCAGAGGCUCUGUACGUCCCGUUCUUUCAGAUUCAACCGCAAGUGUGGCCAGAGAUAGUCCCCCUGAAACGAGGAUACCAAUGGGAUAAAGUGUUGUAGUCGGAUUUUUUGAAUACCUUAAGUUGAGUAGCGGUAUGAACUAGAGCAGAGUGAUCUGUGGCCACUACAUCUUGAAGAAUAAAAAUGGAAGGAGUGAGGCCAAAAAGAAAAUGAAAAGACAUGCGAGUGAGUGAGGGAGAGAGGGAGAGAGAGAGAGGGAGAGAGGUGAGUGCAGGUAAAAAGUAAAAUCAUGUUGUGAACAUUAAUCUAAAAAGUAAAAUCAUGCUGUGAACAUUAAUCUGCAUCGAAGUUAAUUUAACUGCUUCCACCGUAAUAUUUUAUUUUUC